rnacentral:rRNA from 1 species
UACGGAGGGUGCAAGCGUUAUCCGGAUUUAUUGGGUUUAAAGGGUGCGUAGGCGGAAUAAUAAGUCAGGGGUGAAAGUUUGCGGCUCAACCGUAAAAUUGCCUUUGAAACUAUUAUUCUUGAGUACAUUUGAGGUAGGCGGAAUGUAGUGUGUAGCGGUGAAAUGCUUAGAUAUACUACAGAACACCAAUUGCGAAGGCAGCUUACUAAACUGUAACUGACGCUGAUGCACGAAAGCGUGGGGAUCGAACAGG